rnacentral:lncRNA from 1 species
UUUCCUUCCUUUCCUUCGUCCGUUUUACCUGGUUUGUGACCAGCACAAAAAUAACGUGAUUGAACUGAAGCAGUCAAUGUACGGUAUUAUAAAAUAAACCAGGCUUAUAGUAUCUAAAGAGAAAUAAUAUUAAUAAGGACAUUUGCAGAGGAUCAUUCCUCUGCAAUAUAUAUAUUCUGAAAUGUAAAGACGGUUGGCCUAUAAGCUAGAUACUAGACUCUUACUAACCAAGUAUACAAUUUAUUAAUUAAAUAAGCUUGUUUAGUUUACUUACUAAAGACAACUUUCCUUUAGACAUUAAAGAAAUACUGCUUACUUGCUUACUAUGCAAUACUAUGUUCAACAGGUUGUUUCGAGUCUUCCCGGGAUACGUUUGAGACUUUUCAAUAUAGUGAGUAGUAAUUAAAGUAAUUAAUACAAUUCAGCACUAAAAGAAACACAAUUAAUAACACAAAUAUACUGAACCUAAACACUGUGACGGAUUAAGUUCAAGUCUUGAAAUAAAAUGGGAAAAAUCGUCUUACUCAGCGGUUUAAAGUGUGGAGAUGGCGUGCAGAAAACCAAGGCAGGCUUUAUUGGAAGAAAUUGUGCGCGAACAUUAGGAAAUCGUUUUUCUAUACGUUAGUUAAUUGAAGAUCGGACUAAAUUUGGUCUGUACUGUGAGAGUUGGGUAAGAGGGCUUUCGAAAGAGUGAGCCUUUUUAAGACGAACGGCAAGGUAUCAGAGGAAAUAAAGUCUGCUGCUGUACCUAAAAGAAGCAAGACUUAACAGCCCGAUGAAGGCGAGGCUUCUAUGAUAGGUGACGCGGACAUCGUUGUUUAACCUCAUUAAGAGAUUCUUAAGUAUUUAUAGACAUAAUCUUCAGUUUCGAAUUUGAUUAAAGAAUGAUAAUGUUCUAAGCUUAAACUACAAAAGAUUGUGGUGAGAAGGUGAAGAUGUAUCAUGUUUUGGAGGCGGAUGACGCGGCUGUCGUCUUCCUGUUACCCGGAGAAUUCCGUUCUCGAGCGGGCUGUUGAACUGCGAGGAUUUUUCACGCCAGCAACUUUCCGCUCAGUGUUCAAUACGAUUUUAAUAUGUUUACCAACCUUUACCCUUUCAAAUUAUUAAACGUUGUGCGAUCAAAACACAUCGACUGCAC